rnacentral:lncRNA from 1 species
GGCUGAUAUAAACCACAUCCAAGAGAGAGCAACUGCCAAGACCAAAAUAAGAAAAGUCAGACUAGAUGUCAAAUUGAAUGGGGGCACAAGGUAGCAUGGAGGAGAGAAGCCCAAAUGUCCAGGAGUCAAUGAAAUGUAGAAGUGAAAUCAAGGUCAAAAGAGAUGGACUCUCGCUAUGUUGCCCAGGCUGGGCUCAGACUUUUGGCCUCAAGCUAUCCUCUCGCCUCAGACUGCCAAAGUGCCAGGAUUACACGUGUAAGCCACUGUGCGCAGCCUAGAUUUUGGAAAUGAGCAUAAAAGAUCGUGAGCCUGCACUCUGCUUCAACUUAAAGCAGUUUAAAAAUAAAGAUGCUGCAAACUCUACCUCUGGCACUUUUCUUGCUGCUUUAUUUUUGCGAUUUCCUCCCAAAUCUACUCUGUCACCC